GGAUGUAGCGCAGCUGGUAGCGCGUCUGCUUUGGGAGCAGAAUGUCGCAGGUUCAAAUCCUGUCAUCC
rnacentral:tRNA from 1 species